rnacentral:lncRNA from 10 species
UACAGCUGUAUCAGGCCAGGCGUGGUGACUCAUGCCUGUAAUCCCAGCACUUUGGGAGACCGAGGAGGGCGAUCGAGACCAUCCUGACUAACAUGGUGAAACCCCAUCUCUUCUAAAAAUACAAAAAAUUAGCCAGACUUGGUGGUGUACGCCUGUAGUCCCAGCUACUCAGGGGGCUGAGGCAGGAGAAUCGCUUGAACCCAGGAGGUGGAGGUUGCAGUGAGCUGAGAUCGCGCCACUGCACUCCAGCUUGGGCGACAGAGCGAGACUCCAUCUAAAAAAUACAGCUGUAUCAAAUCUGCUUGUGCUUUGGCCAUCUGAGAGAUCUUAAGUGUGCAAUGCAAUGAGGAUGGAGCAACGUAUACACCAAUCAAGAGAAAGAACAUGUCCAUUACCCCAAAAAGUUCUCUUACACCCGCUUCCAGGCUAGAGUGCAGUGGUAGGAUCUCGGCUCACUGCAGCAUUGACCUCCUGGGCUCAAGCUAUCCUCCCACCUCAGCCUUCUGAGUAGCUGGGACCGCAGAGGUGCAUCACCAUACUCGGCUAAGUUUUAUGUAAUUCACUGAAACACGACUGAUAGACCCCGAAGAAGAAAAGGGCCGAAUAUUAUUUGGGUCAAGAAUACUUUACUCUCAGGAAGCAAAAACAUUCUGAAAGGUUCCAAAUGAAAGAAGACAUCUGAUGGGCAAUGUGUAAAUCACUGGACUAAUCUGAUUUUGUUAUGCACUUACACCUGUGAUUCCGGAUGUCAAAUUUCGCAAGUCCUUUAUCCCUUGAAUUUUCCUAUAAAAUACCAUUGAAAGAGGGAAAGAAGAUGGCUAGUGGACACUUUUCUACACCAUCAAUGUAGAAG